rnacentral:misc_RNA from 1 species
GGACAAGAAGACUUCGUUUGUGGUUGUACUUGUUGCUGGAAUUCAAUGGAGAGAAAAUUCACUCCUUUUUUUCCCCUGAUAUUUUAGAGUUUGAUAUUGCAAUAUGAUGAGUGUUUGUUCACAUCAUUAUAAGUCCCUCAGUUGAUCAAAUUGCUUAGAAGGGGGCCCAUGCCGCAUAGUCUUAUUAAUGACUGAAUCAUACCUCACCCACCAACUCCUUUAUAGAUGUAUAGUUGCCUGAAAUCUCAAAAUCCAAUAGCCAACUACUCUCGAAUUCCAUGGGACCAUGGGAACAUUGCUAACAGCCUACAACGGCUCCCAAAAUAGCCUAUGCAAAGGUCUUCUUCCUCAGAAAACAGGCACGUUUCUGAUACUGAAAUGGUUGAUACACUUACGGAUUUAAGCAUCAGAAUGGUACUGAAAUGGUUGAUGCACUUGCAAAGUAAUCAAUCCCUUCAAUAUUGACAGGUCAUUCAAACUUCAAUACCUCAAAAGCAUGCUUCCAUGCUUUGCAUAAACUCAAAAUUUUAAUUCCAUAAUAAGAAAACAACCUACAUGCCAUACCAUACACCAGUUGUAAAGAGCGUGAAUGGAGAACUUUAUAUGUGUAUGGCAAAUCUUCCCUUGUGACAGAAUUGAUAAUUCAAGAGAAAAGAGAACUGCAAUAAAACAAACCCAAUUCCAUGAGCUGCUGUGAGACAAUAAAUACUGUCUGGCUAAUUUCAUAUUUCAGUCAAUCACAACUAAUUCUAUCACAAUCAGGGCAAUGAGACCAACUCUAAUUUAGGUUUAUACUAUAUGCAUAUUAAGUGCUGGUACUCCCCCUCCUCUGAACAGGUUUGUACAGCACAACAGUGACAUAUUUUGAACAGAAGCGAUGAGUAAAACCAAGAGCCACCACAGAACGUGGGGCCUCUCGAUUCUCAAUGUAAAGAUGGUUGAGAAUUACAUUCUGCGGAGCAGGAAUAGUUUCAGAACUGUCCACACUUGCUGGGUAGCUAAGCAAGGUGUGCUGCAGGUGCGGAGGGACUAGAGGUGGGUCCCGUGCCUCAUCUUCAUUCCCAGGGUAGGCAUUGUUGUAACUUGAAUCAGGAGAUUUUGGAACUUCAAAUCCCAUUACAGUUGUGUCUUCAUGAUCAUCAACAUAUUGGUUGCUCAUCUUGAAAAGAGAAGGCAACUGGCUAACAGCACAAAAUCAUCAAAGUUAGCAAUACCACCAACCUGAAAAGAACAUUUUUCUCCUCCCAUGAGCAUAUUAAAAACUAUGAUAAAAGCAUGCACAAAUUUACGCAUAUGUUGUUUAACGGUUCAAACUUUGCAACACCAGAGCAGCCAUGUUCCCUCACAGCAAUCAUAGUUAUAAAGGUUCAUUAUGAGUUUUAUGCUGGCUGAAAACCAAACAUAAUCUUCUUAUCUUAAUUUGAAACAUCUUGAAAAAGAGAGCUUCCACAUUCUAACAACAAAAUAUAAAAGGAGCUUACUUGAACCUAUUAGCAGAGCCACCAUGUGAAAUCACAGCCGUUCAAUUGAGAAGGAGGAUGAUCCAUAAUCAUUUGGCUUAUGCCAGUAAAUUCACUUACUAUGGAAAUUUCGUUGGUUUUAACCCUGGUCUGAGCUAUAAAAUACUAAUCAUAUUUCCCCUUUUUCUUUUAGUUCAUUCCUUUUUGUUAUGUAAAAUAUAUCUUUCAAGUUUAAAGGGAACCAAGAAGUGCCAGCCCCAAUAAAACAUAUUGUGAGUCACAUAUAAUAUAUUCAAAUUUCCUUUUAGCUUCAUGAGACUAAUCUAAACACAGCAAAACAAUACUAUGCAAGUUCCAACAGAAUUUCUAUAAAACGAUACUAUGCAAGUCUAACAGAAUUUCUAUAAAUCCAUCUAAGAUUUAGUCCCCAUUUGAUCAAUGUAAGACAAAAGCUUGAACUUCCUUAAAAGGUGACACUAUCUGGCUUGCAAGAAGCAUAGAGUCAAAAGAAAGUUGGAUUUUUAUUUGUUACUCAACAUCCUCAACUAUAUGGGAACUAUAGCCUAUUGCAAGAAGAAAGGGAUGCUAGGGGGUUUCGGCAUGUACGGUUUAUGGUUAGCAUCUCGAGUUGAACAAAAAACAAAUUGAUUAAAUUAACUUUCAAGCAAACAAAGGCAAUAUUGCAUUUUACAGCGUACUUGCCUAAAAGUUUGUGUUUGAGCUAAACACGAUUGCCUAAGAAAUUAGUUCACUUCCCAGAAAAAGGUAUGCAAACCAAAUAUAUGGACAUGCAACAUACUUGAGAGUAACUUACCUGCUAGUGCAAUAAUAUUUUAAGAAGCAUACAUAUGCAAAUCAAUUGAAGCUUAGUGUCACAAACUUCAACCCUCAAUGAAAGAUUCCAAGAACUCUAAUACGGUGAUCAGUUUAUUCUUUAGGAGAAAGAGAUAUUGACAGGUGGAGAAUUAGAAAGACCUAAAUAAUGUAUUCCAGGGCCAAUGGCAUGCUAACACCUGGUUUUACCAUAGAGAGAAACCAAAAGGAAUUCAAUUUGAAGCAGCAUCACCCUGUAAAAUUUGGGAGCAAAGACAAAUGCUCUGACUAAUUUUCACGUUUACUUGUGAUCAAAUUUUAGGCGUUUGAAAAACACAUGCAAAGAUAAGAUGAAAUCAAAUCCUUAAUAUUUUCUUUUUGCAAUAAAAAACCAACUAACUUGUUAGGCGUUGUAGAUAUUUAAUUAAGUGUCAUAGAUGUGAGGACUGCAUCAUAUAAGAUCUCUAAGCAUUUGCACUAAGUCAACAAAUUAACCAGAUGAUAAAUCUGACCCAGGUGAACAGUAAUGACUUCAUUGCCGAAGAAGUAUUACUUCAUUAUUAGUAUAAUUCUCAGUACUUUAUCUAUUGAGGUUCCUUAUUUCCUGAAAUUUUUGACAUAUGUACGCUGAGAUUAAAAAGAUGUACUUGCUUCUCCACUCUAAUCUAUAGCUGAAAAAGAAUUCCAACUUACUAGAUUAGUACCCAUUUUGUAAUUCUAACGUAAUUUAAUAUCUAAUCACAAAAAGAUAACAGACUUAUGGUGCACAGUAUUAAUGAGGUGAAGAGCUCAAGAGCUUAAGCCAUUGAGGCCAUACCAGAUUCCUACAGAUAUCAACAACCAAUUAAUGACCAGCAGCAAAACAAAGAAGAUAUACAAAAUAUUUGUAUGUAAAAGCAUGACAGUCGUUUUGACAUUUUCAAAUACCAUCACUUCUUAGAAGAAAGUAAUACAUCUCAUAGAAAGAUUUUAUUGUUUGCAGCAAAUCAAUCUGAAUCAAAUUCAGCUGCUUAAUGGAUAACCCAAUUAUUAUCACCCAAUUCAGCUGCUUAAUGGAUAACCCAAUUAUUAUCACCCAUUUUUUCCUCCACAAGCCUUUCACAUUCAACAGGGCUGAGCAUCGGUCGGUUCGGAUUGAUUUGGCUUUGACAAAACCGAAUAACUGGUAUCUUAGAAAAAUCAGAACUGAAGCAAACCGAUUUUAUAAUGAGAACCGGUUCAGUUUACCGGUUUUUUCUAGGUUACUUCAAAUUCCUUAAUUCAAAGGGUUUUGCUGCUGCAAUUGCUAGAGAAAGUAAAGACUUCGAAACAAAUCAAGGAAAAAACAAAGAAUUUGAAAAUUAUAUUACAUAAAAUAAAAUAAAUCAUUUCAAAAAAUCAAAGAAAAGCUGUAAAUUCCCUUAAUACACAAUCCAAUUGAUAGUUCCUCUUUGUACUAAUUCAACAUCAGCUCAAUUGCAUCACAAAAAAUUUCGAAAAUUUAAAAACAAAUUAAAGACCAACCCAAAAAAAUUACCAGAAAAUUAAUUUUGGAGUGGAAAUUGCUUGGAUCUUCAAGAUUCCCAAAUCCAAACUGCACUUGCAACUGUAACUCGACAAGAGCUCAAGGUCUCCAAUCACAAACUUCGAUUUUUUUACCAACCCAAAGUAAGGAGGAAAUCAAACACAAUAAGACCAGAGAGAAGGAAGCAGCGACGAGAGAAUGACGAGACUGGAUCCGCGAGCUUGCAAGGGAGCGUGAGAAGUUGGCAUGACCACGUGAGGCUCUGAUGGAUGGAAGAGAACCGAGGAACGAAGGGAGAAAAGUGAAAAGAGCCGAUGAGAGGCGAGAGGUCACUGAGAUGAGAGGUAGAGGCUGCUUUUCUAGGGGAAUCCGUCCAUCAGAAUCUGAAAUGAACCCUGUCACUCACCAGGUAAAUUUUGUUUCUCGC